UGCAAGUCGAACGGUAGCACAGAGAGCUUGCUCUCGGGUGACGAGUGGCGGACGGGUGAGUAAUGUCUGGGAAACUGCCUGAUGGAGGGGGAUAACUACUGGAAACGGUAGCUAAUACCGCAUAACGUCGCAAGACCAAAGAGGGGGACCUUCGGGCCUCUUGCCAUCAGAUGUGCCCAGAUGGGAUUAGCUAGUAGGUGGGGUAACGGCUCACCUAGGCGACGAUCCCUAGCUGGUCUGAGAGGAUGACCAGCCACACUGGAACUGAGACACGGUCCAGACUCCUACGGGAGGCAGCAGUGGGGAAUAUUGCACAAUGGGCGCAAGCCUGAUGCAGCCAUGCCGCGUGUAUGAAGAAGGCCUUCGGGUUGUAAAGUACUUUCAGCGGGGAGGAAGGCGAUAAGGUUAAUAACCUUGUCGAUUGACGUUACCCGCAGAAGAAGCACCGGCUAACUCCGUGCCAGCAGCCGCGGUAAUACGGAGGGUGCAAGCGUUAAUCGGAAUUACUGGGCGUAAAGCGCACGCAGGCGGUCUGUCAAGUCGGAUGUGAAAUCCCCGGGCUCAACCUGGGAACUGCAUUCGAAACUGGCAGGCUGGAGUCUUGUAGAGGGGGGUAGAAUUCCAGGUGUAGCGGUGAAAUGCGUAGAGAUCUGGAGGAAUACCGGUGGCGAAGGCGGCCCCCCUGGACAAAGACUGACGCUCAGGUGCGAAAGCGUGGGGAGCAAACAGGAUUAGAUACCCUG
rnacentral:rRNA from 1 species